UUGCCUACGGGGCGCAGCAGUAGGGAAUCUUCGGCAAUGGGCGAAAGCCUGACCGAGCAACGCCGCGUGAAUGAAGAAGGCCUUCGGGUUGUAAAAUUCUGUUAUAAGGGAAGAAAGGUGAUAGGAGGAAAUGACUAUCAAUUGACGGUACCUUAUGAGAAAGCCACGGCUAACUACGUGCCAGCAGCCGCGGUAAUACGUAGGUGGCAAGCGUUAUCCGGAAUUAUUGGGCGUAAAGAGUGCGCAGGUGGUUAAUUAAGUCUGAUGUGAAAGACUAAGGCUUAAAAGUGGAGGGUUAUUGGAAA
rnacentral:rRNA from 1 species